rnacentral:tRNA from 1 species
GCCUGGGUGGCUUAGUCAGUUAAGCAUCUGACUUCGGCUCAGGUCCUGAUCUCACGGUUCGUGAGUUCGAGCCCCGCGUCAGGCU